CGCUGCUGACGGACGGCUCUUACGUCAGCAGGCUCCCAUCACGCACGCGUCCAUCAAGUCAUCACGCGCCGUUUGAGCGGUGGCAGCAGCGGGGCUCCCUGGCUAAGAGAGAGGGAUGAACGGAUGAGAGAGGGCAACCCUGCUGUGGUUCCUCGUCUACCUGGAUGUGAGCGCUCUGGUUUUCGGCCCAGGUGGUGACAUCACUCUUCAGAACGGUCGACAUGGCAACCCACAGGUCAGAGGUCCUGAUGCUUAUUUACUGUAGUCAUAGUUACGUCUACUACAUCAUACUAAACAUCUACUGCCAACAGGCUUUGUGAUAUUGCUGAUGUCACACAAAAUCCUUGUAUCUCCAAAAUGGUAUCUCCAACUUUACAAAAGAAGGAAACUGUCGGCUAGGUAAAAUAAUUCAUUCCAUGUCAUUUUUGAGCAUUUCUAUUGGUUCAUUCAUCAUGGAACUGUUUUUGUAGUGUUUUUACCUGUUUUAGUUGUUUUGACCUGUCUUUACCAUUUUUAAAAAUAUUUUUUAGGUGUUUUUAGCUGUGUUUACCUUUUUUAAUUCGUUUUUUAAUUCGUAUUUACCUGUUUUUAAUAGUUUUAGCUGUAUUUGCCUGUUUUUAAUUAUUGUUAGCUGUAUUUAGGUGUAUUUGCCUAUAUAAUUUUUUAUCUGUUUUAGCUGUAUUUACCUGUUUUUUAAUCAUAUGUUUUUUUCUGUUUUUAGCUUUAUUUACCCGUUUAAAUUAUUUUUUUUUGCUGUUUUUAGCUGUAUUUGCCUGUUUUAAUUAUUGUUAGCUGUAUUUACCUGUUUUUAAUUAAUUCUUUAGCUGUUUUUUUAUUAGUUUUAGCUGUUUUUUUAGCUAUAAUUAUAUAUAUUUAGUAAUGUAAUGACAGCACACACAGUAAAAUAACUCAUUCCUGUAUCAGCAUGAUUAGUUAUUAUUGCUACUGUAGUAUACUGUAUUACUUCUUUACUGUUUUUUCUGAGCAGAUAUAUUUACACUUAAUUUACAGAUAAAUUGCAUUUUAAAUUCAAUUCUCUUAAAUGUGUGUUACUAUGCAGUAAAUAAAGUCAUUGUACUUUUUUAUAUCUUGUUUUCUUUUUUUUUACAUCUAAUUGUCUUUUACAGUGUUUAAAAUCAUCAUGAUGAAUGCACCAAUAGAAGUGCAUAAAGUUUCUUUUUGGGGAUAUAAGGUUUACUCUUUCAAAUACUACGACUGCAUAAAUUAAUAUAAAGAGGUGACAUAAUGUACUAGCGUUAAUACAAUUAAUACACGUACAGAUGCUUCUAGAGCUAAAACACGGCUUAAAUCAUCAUCUGUACCAUAAACAUCCUCUCAGAGGCCUCUUCCUGUGGUCUGAGGAUCAUUAUAACGGCUGGAGUCUUCAUACGGAGACUUUCAGGGCCUCUGUAAUAGUGAGCUCACUGUGAAAGCUUAUUUAAGGCUCCUCCCACUUCUCUUACUGGUGCUUUCACUGUGUUUUCACAUGUUCACCAUUAUAACCUGAAAUACUAUUAUUUACAAUGCUAAAUCGGAUUCAAACUGAUUUAAAACAUGCGUUUAAAUCAUUUGUGCAUGAUUUAUUAAUGCUUUAUGUGUGUUUAUUCACAGUACCGGUCAAAAGUACCAGUUUGGACACUGGUACACCUGUGUUUUCUUCCUUUUUAUGAUUUUUUAAAACGAAUUUUACAUUGGAAAUUUAAUAUUGAAGACUAUAUUGAAGCUAUUUUAGCUUCCUUAGAUUUUUUUUUUUAUUAGCCAUAUUUAGCUUUAGCUUUUAAGGAAAGAUCUGCACUCUAUUGGUAUUUUAAUCUUAGUAUCCAAAAAUAGAAAAAAAAAAAGAAUUUCAGAUUUAUUUGAAUAUUUAUUGUUCAAACAUUAGCAAAACAAUCAGUAAUCAAAAAUAGAAAAGAAAUAGCAGCACUUGUUGACUAGACAAUUUCUGAUUUAUUAAUAUAUUUAUAUAUAUAUAUAUAUAUAUAUAUAUAUAUAU